rnacentral:tRNA from 1 species
AGCUCUGCAGUAUUUGUUUAUGUUGGAUUGCAAAUCCAAAGCAGGAGAUUAACCCCCUCCCGGAGCUU